CACAACCCGGUCACGUGACCUGAAACAACUGAACAUGCUGCUAAAGGUGUUAGUCAGGCGUUUACCAAAUCUGCUGCGGGUCGGUGAGGGGAGUCCAGUGUCGUCCUGCUGGGAUGUCUCCAGGCAUUCGGUUCCACCCAGGAGAUCGGCACUUCACCUAGCGACAGAACGCUGCAGUCGUCUGAGCUGUCCAUCGCAGAAUCCACCUGCAAUUGACACAAAUGAUAAUUGUAUUCCAACCAUUUUUUUGUUUUAAAUGUACUCUAUAAAUAUACUUUACUUAGUUAGUUUACUAUAUAUUUAACAAUAUGUGUUAUAAAACAAUAAUAUAAAAAUAAUAAUAAUAAAUUACAAGACAAA